AUCUUCCACAUCGUGCCCGAGGGCGAGAUUGGCGGCCGGCGGCAGGAUGAAGGCCAAGGCGGGCUCCCGCGCCGGCGACUCCAGGGACACCUUCAGGAAGGAGUACAAGGAGAAGCACCUACGUUCCGCUCCUCAGUGAUUCAAGAUUUUCGUACUGACGUUCAUAGGGAUAGCUGAAUUGUUCCUCAACAUCGCAGGAUAGGGUUGUUCCGUACUGGGAGUACACUUUGAGUGCUUACUUUGUUAACCCAAUUGGGUUAAAAUGAUGUUUGUUUUUGGCAUUGACAUUGACCGUCUAGCAGGAAAUCGCUACUGCUAUGACUAACCAAAUCAUAUCCGGCUGUCUGUGCCUUUUAUCUCUGUUCCUAGCAAGGCCUCCCACUAACUUGACAUAAAUGGUAUUUGUAAUGCAACAUGGGACAUUAGAUUGCUCUUUUCUCUUUUCAGCACAGCAAGUCGAUUCCGUCUGUGGCCUAACAUUUUAAACUUUUCUCAGUUAUUGGGUUCUUUUUACGCUUUGAAGAUGAUAGUGUCGAUUCAGCAAAAGUGGUCAAACAGUGGAAUGUCAAAAUCAUAUCUAUAAGCAAGAAUAAAAGGCAUCAAGCCAGACCGGCUGCUCUG